UGGGGAAUCUUGCACAAUGGGCGAAAGCCUGAUGCAGCGACGCCGCGUGGAGGAUGAAGGUUUUCGGAUUGUAAACUCCUUUUGCAGGGGAAGAUAAUGACGGUACCCUGCGAAUAAGCCACGGCUAACUCUGUGCCAGCAGCCGCGGUAAGACAGAGGUGGCGAGCGUUGUUCGGAAUUACUGGGCUUAAAGGGCGCGUAGGCGGUGGUGCAAGUCUGAGGUGGAAUGCUACGGCUUAACCGUAGAGCUGCCUUGGAAACUGCAUUACUUGAGUCGGUUAGGGGAUGGCGGAAUUCCUGGUGUAGCGGUGAAAUGCGUAGAUAUCAGGAGGAAGGUCUGUGGCGAAGGCGGCCAUCUGGGAUUUGACUGACGCUGAGGCGCGAAAGCGUGGGUAGCAAACA
rnacentral:rRNA from 1 species